AUCUAUAAUUUAAGUCCUUUGAAGAAAUAAUGGUCCUAAUUAACUCAUUAAUUUUAUUGCUUCCUAACUUGCUUAUGCUCACAUACUUAUAAUUAAAGCAUAAAUGAUAUUUCCACGUUGUUGUGUGAAUAGAAUACACAUGCUGAAUAAUAAUAUAAUAAAGCCCCGUAGUUGGCAUACACACACACACAUAUAUAUAUAUAUAUAAAUUAACUAUGGCAUCGAACAAAAGUAAGUUGGCCUUAAUUAUGUGUUUAUAUAAAUAAUUAAUAGUACUAUAACACCACCAUAAUUGAUACUACACGAGCAUCAUUUUGAUCUGUCUCAACAGUUAUUUCAUUAUUAUUUCAUGACUACAUCAAAUAUAUAUAACGUCAAUGAUUAUGGUAUAUAUGUGGAGCACACAUAUACAAUUAUAUGGGUGAAAGAGGAGAGCAAUAUAUAUAUUGCGGUGGAGCGAAUUGGUGAAGAAUGUUAGCUUUAUAUAUAAGCUGAAAAAAAGAAAAAGAUUGAGUAAUGCGAUGAGGAGGGAUCUUGGCAUCACAAAUUAUAGGGUGGUCUUGGGAGAAGUACAAAUUGCUACUCUUUUAAUCAUGAACAAUAGUUAAAUAUGUUAUUCUUCUUCUCAAGAGAAAGCGAAGGAAAGGAAAAGACAACCAUAAAUAACUUAUGGGCAAUCCUUUGAUGUUCGUUGUGUUUAACGUGUGCACCUGUGUCCCUAACACGUGGACAAAUAAGAUUCAGCUAGCUGGACAUGCUCUCCAACUAUAGAGAAGGCAUCAGUUGAGUUUGAGGAAAGGUUGUUUGCAAAAGUGGACUCUGAAGUUGAUAUUAUUUACAACAAGGCCAAUGAAGGUGAAAGUGACAAUGAUGAGGAUGAUGUCGCUGAAGGUGAAGACACAGAGGGUGAUGCUGCAAGGUUAGGAUACAAAAGUUUUAUUGAUUUGACAUCCGAUGACAAGAAAUUGUUGACUUUUGCAAGUGAAGACUUUGCAUACCAAUUUUAUUAUACCUAUGGAAAAUGACAUGGUUUUGGUAUUAGAAAGGAUGAAGUGAAGCAUGAUGAGAAAGAAAAUAUUAUAAUGCGUGAAUUUGUGUGCAACAAAGAAGGCUUAAAGGGACAAUAAACAUCUCAUGAGGGUGGAUUAGAAAAAGGAAAUGAGGCCUCUGACUCGAACUAAUUGUAAAGCAAAGCUACGAGUAAAGUUUGAUAAUAUAUGGGGAGAUUUAUAGUUUCGUCAUUUCUGGAGUAGCGUAACCAAAUGUUUAAGUACUUACACUAUAUAUUCAAAUAUAAUGUUAUAAACUGACCAACAACACUAUGUUUAAGUACUUACACUAUAAAACUGUGUUUCCAUUAUUGAUCUUUGUACCUAUCAAUCAAUAACGACAAACAACAUUGGUUCCUUCUUGUUGAUAUCAUUGAAAAGAAACUUGUAUUGUUAGACUCAAAACCUAAGGCAAAGGAAUAAGAUGCAAGAGAAAGAUUUGUGAGGAAAUUGGUAAGCAUUUGAAUACUGUUAAGAAUUUCAAAUGAUACAGUCUACCGUCAACAAAGUUAACCCAUCAUCUCACACAAGGUAUAUUUCUCGAGGUAAUGCUGCUGGAUGACAAAUUUCAGCAUUUCAAUUAGUCAGACCUGAUGACAUUGGAGAACAAGGCCCUUUAUUAAAUGACUGUGAUCUUUGGGUCGCAAAGUGGAUGAAGGACUGCAAAUGGGGUCAGGAUUACCGUAUUGAGGCA